rnacentral:tRNA from 6 species
AAAAAAUUAGUUAAAUUUAUAACAUUAGUUUGUCAAACUAAAAUUAUCAGCUUGUUGAUAUUUUUUA